rnacentral:rRNA from 1 species
UGCCGAGCUUCGGGUGAGUAGAGCGGCGGACGGGUGAGUAACGCGUGGGAAUCUACCGAGUAGUGGGGGACAACCGUUGGAAACGACGGCUAAUACCGCAUACGCCCUACGGGGGAAAGAGGGGGACCUUAUGGCCUCUUGCUAUUUGAUGAGCCCGCGUAAGAUUAGCUUGUUGGUGGGGUAACGGCCUACCAAGGCGACGAUCUUUAGCUGGUCUGAGAGGAUGAUCAGCCACACUGGGACUGAGACACGGCCCAGACUCCUACGGGAGGCAGCAGUGGGGAAUAUUGGACAAUGGGCGCAAGCCUGAUCCAGCCAUGCCGCGUGUGUGAAGAAGGCUCUAGGGUUGUAAAGCACUUUCAGUGGGGAGGAAAGGGUUAACGUUAAUAGCGUUGAUCUGUGACGUUACCCACAGAAGAAGCACCGGCUAACUCCGUGCCAGCAGCCGCGGUAAUACGGAGGGUGCGAGCGUUAAUCGGAAUUACUGGGCGUAAAGCGCGCGUAGGUGGUUAUAUAAGCUAGAUGUGAAAGCCCCGGGCUCAACCUGGGAACUGCAUUUAGAACUGUAUAGCUAGAGUACAGCAGAGGAUAGUGGAAUUUCAGGUGUAGCGGUGAAAUGCGUAGAGAUCUGAAGGAACAUCAGUGGCGA